rnacentral:rRNA from 1 species
CCUACGGGUGGCAGCAGUGGGGAAUAUUGGGCAAUGGGCGAAAGCCUGACCCAGCAACGCCGCGUGAAGGAAGAAGGCUUUCGGGUUGUAAACUACUUUUGACAGGGAAGAGCAGAAUACGGUACCUGUCGAAUCAGCCACGGCUAACUACGUGCCAGCAGCCGCGGUAAUACGUAGGUGGCAACCGGUGUCCGGAUUGACUGGGUGUAAAGGGCGUGUAGCCGGGCUGACAAGUCAGAUGUGAAAUCCGGGGGCUCAACCCCCGAACUGCAUUUGAUACUGGUGGGCUUGAGUAUCGGAGAGGCAGGUGGAAUUCCUGGUGUAGCGGUGAAAUGCGUAGAUAUUAGGAGGAACACCAGUGGCGAAGGCGGCCUGCUGGACGACAACUGACGGUGAGGCGCGAAAGCGUGGGGAGCAAACAGGAUUAGAUACCCGUGUAGUC